GGGGAGAAGGGGGGAUGUUGGAGGGCAGUGAACUAAGAAGGGGGAUUGAGACGGAGGGGGGAGAGGAGAGAAAAACAAAGUAUAGCAGAAGAAGGAGAAUACGGAAAAGUGAGAGAACGAAAGGAACUGAGUCUCUCUCCCCUCCUCCUCCUCCUCCUCCUCGUCUCGAUACCGCCCGCUGGUGUUAUGUAACGUUACCCCCUGCUGAGCGGAGCCGCGCGCACACACACUCACACACACACACCUCCACCCCUGCUUGUUAGGCUGCACCACCCGACGUUGGCCUAUGAAUCCACCGGCUCCCGUCCGGCCGUGUUUGUGUUCAGUCGAGAACGCUACAGCCUUCAGAACGCCAGACCUGCGCUGGUCGUUAAUAUUUGAUGAGCAACGGUCCGGUCUAGUCCUGAUUCAACACCAGGUUCACAUCAGGCAGUUGGUGGUGGGCGUCUUAGGGGAAAGAAUGGAUUUUGUUAGAAUUGCUCUCUUUUUAAAGUCAGGAUUCUGACCUUUAAAUGGGACACGGUGAAACCGCAACAGGGCUUGGAACCUAACUUUGACCACAAACAGGUUUAUUUUGACGACACUUCCAAGCGUGUGUCUUCGGGAACGUCUUGUCUUCGGAUACUCCGAGGAGGAGGUCUGAAAGCCCGCGGUUCUGCCGGCGGCUUUGGCGGAGGUGAAGGGAGAGAGAACGGAGGAGAGGGAGAACGAGGGAGAGGGGGAGGUGGGCGCGCGGUGAGAACAAUGCAGGGAGUGCCCAGAGGGAGGGUGUUCGGUUGGUCACCAGCCACCCUGGGGGGGCUGGCAGAAUGGUACCGGCGCCACGGUAUUAACUGGAACACCGAACCUGAACCCAAAACUUAGUUUAGUUAGAGCUCCUCUGUUCGGCUGUAAGGCUAAGUUCAUCUCAAGGUCUUGGUACCUUCGUGUGUCUCCUCACAGAGUUAGCUUAGGAGGGGUAUUGGUAUUUCAGCUUAUAUUCCUAGCUGGCUAACUUUUCUACACACACGUAUACAAACGCACACACACACACACAAACUACACACGCAUCUUCCAAACACACGUACCAUCUGGCUGACUUCUUUAAGCUAAUUGCAAAACAUCAGCAGCUGCGCAAACCAAAAAAUAUUUAAUAAUAGAUUUCUCCCGAAAAUGACGCAUUACUGUAACUGUAAUUUCCAGAAAGAGGCGGCGGUUGCCAUGGCGGCCAACAUCAGCGAUACGGUCUCCAGGGCCUCCCAUUGGGACGAUUAUCUCGGCGACUGGACGGACCGGUUCCCAGGCGGAGGCCGGCCAUCGCGCGCUGCGCCCGAUCACGCCUCUAUUGUUUGUCGGUUUGUUGUUCGCCUCCAGCGUGACUCCCCUGGCCCGCCCCGCGGAGGUCUGCGCUCAAACCCGGCGUCAGAACCAGGCGUCAGAACCAGGCGGUAAAACCAGGCGUUUAAACCAGGCAUUAUAACCAGCCGGUAAAACCAGGCAAUAUAACCAGGCGGUAAAACCGGGCAUUUGACCAGGCGGUCAAAUCAGGCGUCAAACGCAGGCAUUAUAAUCAGGCGGUAAAACCAGGCGGUAAAACCAGGCUUUAGAAACAGGCGUCAAAACCCGGCGGUAUCUUCCUGAAAGAAUGCAGUCGUCCCCGGCCCUGGGGCGUGGCGUUCUCCUGUGUCACAAGGCAGUGCUGAUUCACCCCCCCCCCCCACCCUCCCCAUGCAAGAGCCGUUUGAGUUCAGACGGUUGACGUUUGACGAGUGUCAAGGUGGUGUGAGGUGGAGGAGGAAGUGUGGUUGUGAAACGUCUCGACUCUCUGGGAAUACCCCUCGGGUGAAGUGCUGCCGUGUGUUGCAUCGCUCUCGUUGCCAUAGAUGGAGGCAGAUGCAUUUUCUGAUAGGAGCGACUGGCGUGCUUGCGCUGGGGCUCUUGCGCAAUGCGAGGCACGCACAUUCACAUUCACGUACACACACAUACACAUGCACGCACGCACACACCCAAGCACGCACGCACACGAACGUACGCAUGUGUGAAUGUCUCCCCUCGCCAAAAACACAGAUUAAGCAUACGAUUAGUAAGCUUAAUUUUUUUCAGAAACACAUAGUCAUGCAACACACACACACACACACACACACACACACACACACACACACACACACACACACACACACACACACACACACACACACACACACACACACACACACACACACACACACACACACACUCUUAAACUCCUAAAACGUACACACACACUCCAACCUAGGCGUACACACACACCUCAGUGGGGUUCCUCGACCGACCAAAAGUUAUCGGAACAACCAAAGAGCCAUCCAAACGCUGUGCGUGUUUGUCUUUCCUUUCUGUAACUCCACAAUACCAGCUCUGUGUGGUGGGCUUUUUCACCAGCGGUCAUUACAGCGGUCCCCAAUGUUGAUUCUUCCUGUCAGAGUUGCCUUCCUACCCCCGGCCAGGGGCCUGUGGUGGUGACAGUGCAGAAAGCGCCCCUCCCGGCGGCCCUCUGUAAACAUCGUUCUGAUUUUGUGAACCCCCCCCCCCCCCCUUCGUUCCGUUGCCAAACUGUCCAACGGUCACGAGGCCACAGAAAUCCCCGUUGUGACAAAAGGCCAACUGCAGGAGCCUCUCUCUCUCUCUCUCUCUCUCUCUCUCUCUCUCUCUCUCUCUCUCUCUCUCUCUCUCUCUCUCUCUCUCUCUCUCUCUC
ensembl:lncRNA